UCAGAUGGCUGGAUGGCCGCCUUUCAUGCAAAUGGGGGGAGGAAAGUCCGGGCUCCAUAAGAUUAUGGUGCUGGCUAACGGCCAGCGGGGGCGACCCUAGGGAAAGUGCAACAGAAAGAUACCGCCAAUUCGCUUCUAAGACGGGGGGAUUGGUAAGGGUGAAAUGGUGCGGUAAGAGCGCACCGCGCUUUUAGUAAUAAAAGUGGCAUGGCAAACCCCACCAGGAGCAAGACCAAAUAGGGAUGGUUGGCUGAUCUUACCAUUAACCAUCCGGGUAGGUUGCGCGAAGUGCGGAGUAAUCCGUACUCCAGAUGAAUGGCCGUCUUAACACAGUUAAAUGUGCGAUGACAAAACCCGGCUUACAGGCC
rnacentral:RNase_P_RNA from 1 species